CCUACGGGGGGCAGCAGUGGGGAAUAUUGGGCAAUGGGCGCAAGCCUGACCCAGCAACGCCGCGUGAAGGAAGAAGGCUUUCGGGUUGUAAACUUCUUUUGUCAGGGAAGAGUAGAAGACGGUACCUGACGAAUAAGCCACGGCUAACUACGUGCCAGCAGCCGCGGUAAUACGUAGGUGGCAAGCGUUGUCCGGAGUUACUGGGUGUAAAGGGCGUGUAGCCGGGUUGACAAGUCAGAUGUGAAAUCCUGCGGCUUAACCGCAGAACUGCAUUUGAAACUGUUGAUCUUGAGUACUGGAGAGGCAGAUGGAAUUCCUAGUGUAGCGGUGAAAUGCGUAGAUAUUAGGAGGAACACCAGUGGCGAAGGCGGCCUGCUGGACUGUGACUGACGUUGAGGCCCGAAGGCGUGGGGAGCAAACAGGAUUAGAUACCCUGGUAGUC
rnacentral:rRNA from 1 species